GAUGAACGCUGGCGGCGUGCCUAAUACAUGCAAGUCGAGCGAACGGACGAGAAGCUUGCUUCUCUGAUGUUAGCGGCGGACGGGUGAGUAACACGUGGAUAACCUACCUAUAAGACUGGGAUAACUUCGGGAAACCGGAGCUAAUACCGGAUAAUAUUUUGAACCGCAUGGUUCAAAAGUGAAAGACGGUCUUGCUGUCACUUAUAGAUGGAUCCGCGCUGCAUUAGCUAGUUGGUAAGGUAACGGCUUACCAAGGCAACGAUGCAUAGCCGACCUGAGAGGGUGAUCGGCCACCCUGGAACUGAGACACGGUCGCGACUCCUACGGGAGGCCGCAGUAGGGAAUCUUCCGCAAUGGGCGAAAGCCUGACGGAGCAACGCCGCGUGAGUGAUGAAGGUCUUCGGAUCGUAAAACUCUGUUAUUAGGGAAGAACAUAUGUGUAAGUAACUGUGCACAUCUUGACGGUACCUAAUCAGAAAGCCACGGCUAACUACGUG
rnacentral:rRNA from 1 species